GGGUAAUAUGGUAUAUUACUCAAAUGGAAGAGUUUUGUCUCUCUUUAUCUCUUAAACAGAUAUAUGCCCAGAAUCCGAUGAUAGGCUUACACCAACCUUUGAGUCUCUCUACAUAUUUCUUGAGAGCUACUGCCUAACUUAACAUUUCACAAAGCCUCCUUGAGUACUACUGAGAGGGUACCUUCAUCACUUUUUUCUCUUGUGCUGUACAGUGCCACAUAUUUCAUCAUAUAACUUCUACUUAACCUUAUAUUUUUGCUUAGAAUGAUUAUAAGAUGGAGCUUGUUCAAUGACAAAACUCUUUGGAUAAGCAAGAAGAAACUGUCCUGGAAUUGUUAAAUGGAAAAUGUCAAUAACUGACCACAGGAUUGGAACACAGUCAGCUACAUCAUGGGGAAAACAUUACGACCUGUUUAAAAACCAUGUUGUUGUCUCUAUCCACAACCAUAUCAUAGUUACCCCAGUAAUCUGAGUAUUGCCAAAUUGUCAACCUCUAUUGCCUGACACAAAGAGAGGUAUUUUUAUAACAGGAAUUUGAACAUGGACUUUGGAGCGAGAUAUGACUGUGACACUUAUUUGCUGUCAGAUCUUGGAAAUGAGACACAUUUUUUGAGAAC